ACCUCAGAUUACAGUGAACUCGUCGGUCUCCUAAGCCGAAGAUUCCCGGUUCAAGUCCGGGGUGCGGUG